rnacentral:rRNA from 1 species
UCAGGACGAACGCUGGCGGCGUGCUUAACACAUGCAAGUCGAACGAUGAUCAGGAGCUUGCUCCUGUGAUUAGUGGCGAACGGGUGAGUAACACGUGAGUAACCUGCCCCUGACUCUGGGAUAAGCGUUGGAAACGACGUCUAAUACUGGAUAUGAUCACUGGCCGCAUGGUCUGGUGGUGGAAAGAUUUUUUGGUUGGGGAUGGACUCGCGGCCUAUCAGCUUGUUGGUGAGGUAAUGGCUCACCAAGGCGACGACGGGUAGCCGGCCUGAGAGGGUGACCGGCCACACUGGGACUGAGACACGGCCCAGACUCCUACGGGAGGCAGCAGUGGGGAAUAUUGCACAAUGGGCGAAAGCCUGAUGCAGCAACGCCGCGUGAGGGAUGACGGCCUUCGGGUUGUAAACCUCUUUUAGUAGGGAAGAAGCGAGAGUG